rnacentral:misc_RNA from 1 species
GAUGAAGAACGCAGCGAAAUGCGAUAAGUAAUGUGAAUUGCAGAAUUCAGUGAAUCAUCGAAUCUUUGAACGCACCUUGCGCUCUUUGGUAUUCCGAAGAGCAUGCCUGUUUGAGCGUCAUGAAAACAUCAACCUUGACUUGGGUUUUGUGCUCUAGUCUCGGCUUGGAAUUGGGUGCUUGCCGCUUUUACGAGCGGCUCACCUUAAAUGUAUUAGCUGGAUCUGUCUUUGAGACUUGGUUUGACUUGGCGUAAUAAGUAUUUCGCUAAGGACAUUCUUCGGAGUGGCCUCGUUUCUAGGACGCUUGUCCGCUUUCCAAUACAAGUUCCACCUCGUGGACACGACUUUUUAUUAUCUGGCCUCAAAUCAGGUAGGACUACCCGCUGAACUUAAGCAUAUCAAUAAGCGGAGGA